rnacentral:rRNA from 1 species
UACGGGGGGAGCAAGCGUUGUUCGGAUUUACUGGGCGUAAAGGGCGCGUAGGCGGUCAGCACAAGUCAGUUGUGAAAUCUCCGGGCUUAACUCGGAAAGGUCAACUGAUACUGUGCGACUAGAGUGCGGAAGGGGCAACUGGAAUUCUCGGUGUAGCGGUGAAAUGCGUAGAUAUCGAGAGGAACACCUGCGGCGAAGGCGGGUUGCUGGGCCGACACUGACGCUGAUGCGCGAAAGCUAGGGGAGCGAACAGG